rnacentral:tRNA from 47 species
CGGAGUAUAGCGCAGCCUGGUAGCGCACCUGCUUCGGGAGCAGGGGGUCGAGUGUUCGAAUCACUCUACUCCGACCA